rnacentral:rRNA from 1 species
UACGAAGGGGGCGAGCGUUGUUCGGAAUUACUGGGCGUAAAGGGCGCGCAGGCGGCUCUGAAAGUCAGAUGUGAAAGCCCCGGGCUUAACCUGGGAAUUGCAUUUGAUACUCUGGAGCUUGAGUACGGGAGAGGAGAGUGGAAUUCCCAGUGUAGAGGUGAAAUUCGUAGAUAUUGGGAAGAACACCGGUGGCGAAGGCGGCUCUCUGGACCGUAACUGACGCUGAGGUGCGAAAGCGUGGGGAGCAAACAGG